rnacentral:tRNA from 2 species
GCCGCCGUAGCUCAGCCGGCAGAGCGAUCGCCUUGUAAGCGAUAGGUCGUGGGUUCAAUCCCCACCGGCGGCUCCA